GAAAUGCGAUAAGUAAUGUGAAUUGCAGAAUUUUGUGAAUCAUCGAAUCUUUGAACGCACAUUGCGCCCCCUGGCAUUCCGGGGGGCACACCUGUUCGAGCGCCGUUUAAACCUAAGGCUCAGCCUUGCGUUGACCAUCCCCGGCGGGGCGGUCGAAAAACAUGAAGACUCCAAAGCGGAAGCAGUACGCAAAAGUAUUGGCGACCUCCCAAAAAGUCUUAAUCACGAAACGUAUGGCCUCGGAUCAGGUGGGGAUACCCGCUGAACUUAA
rnacentral:misc_RNA from 1 species